UACGCUAUCGUCUAAUAGGUAAGACAUAGAUUUUUGGUAUCUAGAAGUAGGUGUUCGAAUCACCUUAGCGUAA
rnacentral:tRNA from 1 species